rnacentral:rRNA from 1 species
UACGUAGGGGGCAAGCGUUGUCCGGAUUUAUUGGGCGUAAAGAGCGUGUAGGCGGCCUGACAGGUCUGCUGUGAAAACUCGAGGCUCAACCUCGAGAUGUCGGCGGAAACCGUCUGGCUAGAGUCCGGAAGAGGAGAGUGGAAUUCCUGGUGUAGCGGUGAAAUGCGCAGAUAUCAGGAAGAACACCGAUGGCGAAGGCAGCCCCCUGGGCUGAGAUUGACGCUCAGGCACGAAAGCGUGGGGAGCAAACAGG